GCCCUCGUAGCUCAGGGGAUAGAGCGCUUGCCUCCGGAGCAAGAAGUCGCAGGUUCGAAUCCUGCCGAGGGCACC
rnacentral:tRNA from 1 species